AUACGGAGGGUGCAAGCGUUGUUCGGAAUCACUGGGCGUAAAGGGCGCGCAGGCGGUUUGGUAAGUCAGAUGUGAAAGCCCAUGGCUCAACCAUGGAAGUGCAUUUGAAACUGUCAGACUUGAGUACUAGAGGGGAAAGUGGAAUUCCCGGUGUAGAGGUGAAAUUCGUAGAUAUCGGGAGGAAUACCGGUGGCGAAGGCGACUUUCUGGCUAGAUACUGACGCUGAGGCGCGAAAGCGUGGGGAGCAAACAGGAUUAGAUACCCUAGUAGUCC
rnacentral:rRNA from 1 species